GCCAGGCGAAGUGGUGCACGCCUGUAAUCCUAGCUGCUCUGGAGGUUGAGACAGGAGGAUUGCAAAUUCAAAGCCAGCCUCAGCAACUUAGUGAGGCACUAAGCAACUCAGUGAGACCCUGUCUUUA
rnacentral:sRNA from 1 species